rnacentral:rRNA from 1 species
GAUGAACGCUGGCGGCGUGCCUAAUACAUGCAAGUCGAGCGAACGGACGAGAAGCUUGCUUCUCUGAUGUUAGCGGCGGACGGGUGAGUAACACGUGGAUAACCUACCUAUAAGACUGGGAUAACUUCGGGAAACCGGAGCUAAUACCGGAUAAUAUUUUGAACCGCAUGGUUCAAAAGUGAAAGACGGUCUUGCUGUCACUUAUAGAUGGAUCCGCGCUGCAUUAGCUAGUUGGUAAGGUAACGGCUUACCAAGGCAACGAUGCAUAGCCGACCUGAGAGGGUGAUCGGCCACACUGGAACUGAGAUACGGUCCAGACUCCUACGGGAGGCAGCAGUAGGGAAUCUUCCGCAAUGGGCGAAAGCCUGACGGAGCAACGCCGCGUGAGUGAUGAAGGUCUUCGGAUCGUAAAACUCUGUUAUUAGGGAAGAACAUAUGUGUAAGUAACUGUGCACAUCUUGACGGUACCUAAUCAGAAAGCCACGGCUAACUACGUGCCAGCAGCCGCGGUAAUACGUAGGUGGCAAGCGUUAUCCGGAAUUAUUGGGCGUAAAGCGCGCGUAGGCGGUUUUUUAAGUCUGAUGUGAAAGCCCACGGCUCAACCGUGGAGGGUCAUUGGAAACUGGAAAACUUGAGUGCAGAAGAGGAAAGUGGAAUUCCAUGUGUAGCGGUGAAAUGCGCAGAGAUAUGGAGGAACACCAGUGGCGAAGGCGACUUUCUGGUCUGUAACUGACGCUGAUGUGCGAAAGCGUGGGGAUCGAACAGGAUUAGAUACCCUGGUAGUCCACGCCGUAAACGAUGAGUGCUAAGUGUUAGGGGGUUUCCGCCCCUUAGUGCUGCAGCUAACGCAUUAAGCACUCCGCCUGGGGAGUACGACCGCAAGGUUGAAACUCAAAGGAAUUGACGGGGACCCGCACAAGCGGUGGAGCAUGUGGUUUAAUUCGAAGCAACGCGAAGAACCUUACCAAAUCUUGACAUCCUUUGACAACUCUAGAGAUAGAGCCUUCCCCUUCGGGGGACAAAGUGACAGGUGGUGCAUGGUUGUCGUCAGCUCGUGUCGUGAGAUGUUGGGUUAAGUCCCGCAACGAGCGCAACCCUUAAGCUUAGUUGCCAUCAUUAAGUUGGGCACUCUAAGUUGACUGCCGGUGACAAACCGGAGGAAGGUGGGGAUGACGUCAAAUCAUCAUGCCCCUUAUGAUUUGGGCUACACACGUGCUACAAUGGACAAUACAAAGGGCAGCGAAACCGCGAGGUCAAGCAAAUCCCAUAAAGUUGUUCUCAGUUCGGAUUGUAGUCUGCAACUCGACUACAUGAAGCUGGAAUCGCUAGUAAUCGUAGAUCAGCAUGCUACGGUGAAUACGUUCCCGGGUCU